GACGAACGCUGGCGGCGUGCUUAACACAUGCAAGUCGAACGGAAAGGCCCUGCUUUUGUGGGGUGCUCGAGUGGCGAACGGGUGAGUAACACGUGAGUAAGCUGCCCUGGACGUUGGGAUAACUUCAGGAAACUGGGGCUAAUACCGGAUAGGAGCGCCUGCUGCAUGGUGGGGGUUGGAAAGUUUCGGCGGUUGGGGAUGGACUGGCGGCUUAUCAGCUUGUUGGUGGGGUAGUGGCUUACCAAGGCUUUGACGGGUAGCCGGCCUGAGAGGGUGACCGGCCACAUUGGUACUGCGAUACGGCCCAGACUCCUACGGGAGGCAGCAGUGGGGAAUAUUGCACAAUGGGCGGAAGCCUGAUGCAGAAACGCCGCGUGCGUGAUGACGGCCUUCGGGUUGUAAACCGCUUUCGCCUGUGACGAAGCGUGAGUGACGGUAAUGGGUAAAGAAGCACCGGCUAACUACGUG
rnacentral:rRNA from 1 species